CUCGUAGGCGGUUUGUCGCGUCUGCCGUGAAAGUCCGGGGCUCAACUCCGGAUCUGCGGUGGGUACGGGCAGACUAGAGUGAUGUAGGGGAGACUGGAAUUCCUGGUGUAGCGGUGAAAUGCGCAGAUAUCAGGAGGAACACCGAUGGCGAAGGCAGGUCUCUGGGCAUUAACUGACGCUGAGGAGCGAAAGCAUGGGGAGCGAACAGGAUUAGAUACCCUGGUAGUCCAUGCCGUAAACGUUGGGCACUAGGUGUGGGGGACAUUCCACGUUUUCCGCGCCGUAGCUAACGCAUUAAGUGCCCCGCCUGGGGAGUACGGCCGCAAGGCUAAA
rnacentral:rRNA from 2 species